GAUGAACGCUAGCGGCAGGCUUAACACAUGCAAGUCGAGGGGCAGCAUGAGACGGAGAUUCGUCAAAGUCUUGAUGGCGACCGGCGCAAGGGUGCGUAACGCGUGAGCAACUUGCCCGUUUCUGGGGAAUAACCGGUGGAAACGCCGACUAAUACCCCAUAGUAUGUUUUUAAGGCAUCUUUUAAACAUUAAAGAAUUUCGGAAACGGAUAGGCUCGCGUGACAUUAGCUAGAUGGCGGGGUAACGGCCCACCAUGGCGACGAUGUCUAGGGGUUCUGAGAGGAAGGUCCCCCCACACUGGAACUGAGACACGGUCCAGACUCCUACGGGAGGCAGCAGUGAGGAAUAUUGGUCAAUGGCCGUAAGGCUGAACCAGCCAAGUAGCGUGAAGGAUGAAGGUUCUAUGGAUUGUAAACUUCUUUUAUACGGGAAUAACAUCAUCUACGUGUAGAUGCCUGCAUGUACCGUAUGAAUAAGCAUCGGCUAACUCCGUGCCAG
rnacentral:rRNA from 1 species